rnacentral:rRNA from 1 species
AUGUGUAUAGUUGCACUUCCUUUAUUAUUGCGCUUUCCAACUUUUGAUUGUUAUUUUUACAUUUUUUUUAUCUCUAUCAUACCAACAUUUCGUUCAUGUGCAGAUAAUAAUAGAAAAGCUUUAAUUGAUUUGAACAAACGUCUUGAAAUAAUUGAAGGAAUAGCAGAAGGACUUCUUUACCUACAUAUGCACUCUCGGUUGUGUGUCAUACAUCGAGACCUUAAACCAAGCAACAUUCUCUUGGACAACGAAAUGAAUCCUAAAAUUUCAGACUUUGGACUGGCAAAAAUAUUUAGCUCUAAUGCUGAAGGAAUCAUUACGAGAAGAGUGGCUGGUACAUAG